rnacentral:rRNA from 1 species
GAUGGGCUUGGGCGUUCUUACAUUUAAUGUGUUUGUCGAGUGUAUUAGAACUCUUUCGGUGCGAAGCCAGUCAUCACGUCUAGGCGUAGUUCUUUACCCAUUUUAGUCAUAGGGUGAACG